UUUCUAACUGUACAGAGGAGGAAAUUCACAGAGAAAUAUGCGUGGGAGUGGUUCGGCUGACCCCAUACCAAGCGCACCCACCCUGUCAUCAGACCAAAUAUAGGGGACAUUUACAUGAACAAGUAAUAAAACAAUUUAUUACGACCCAUUAUUUAUUACCACACGUUUUUUUUAAAUGAGUUUCGAAUUUUGAAUGACGACAGCAUGUAGCGCAGACUACUUUGCGUUCGGGAUAUCUUGUCUCAUUUUCAAUUCAACAAAUACAUGCGUUUAUCCAAACUAACAAGCAUAAAGCACGUUACUCGGGGUUCAAACGCCCGCAUAUGUUGAGAUUUUGUCAUUCAGUAACAUUUCUCAGCACACUGACACCACGACGGAGAGAUUUUCUCAACCUCUGCUCACUCGGCAACGUCAACCUUCAUCCCAACCUCAAACUUCACCUACGACGGGAAAUAACUGCUCCCGACUGGCCUGUCCUCCCGAGAGCUCCUCCACUGGACUCCAUUCAGGAUGUGCUGAGCCAAAGCUGAGGUCACAUCAACCCGCCCUGGCCCGACUACUGUAGUAGAAGCAAGUCCAAACUCUCACCUAUGGUGUGUCCCGGCGUGGAGAGCGGCGUGACGGAUCCAUCGGGGGACGGGUGAAACUGCUGCUGGACUUUGGUGCGGAUAAUCCUGAACUACACACGGCUCAACGGGGACCAAAACGCGGGGGUAAGUACGGCGGAAUGCGGUGAUUUCAAACCAUCACG